GACGAACGCUGGCGGCGUGCUUAACACAUGCAAGUCGAACGGAAAGGCCCUGCUUUUGUGGGGUGCUCGAGUGGCGAACGGGUGAGUAACACGUGAGUAACCUGCCCUUGACUUUGGGAUAACUUCAGGAAACUGGGGCUAAUACCGGAUAGGAGCUCCUGCUGCAUGGUGGGGGUUGGAAAGUUUCGGCGGUUGGGGAUGGACUCGCGGCUUAUCAGCUUGUUGGUGGGGUAGUGGCUUACCCAGGCUUUGACGGGUAGCCGGCCUGAGAGGGUGACCGGCCACAUUGGGACUGAGAUACGGCCCAGACUCCUACGGGAGGCAGCAGUGGGGAAUAUUGCACAAUGGGCGGAAGCCUGAUGCAGCAACGCCGCGUGCGGGAUGACGGCCUUCGGGUUGUAAACCGCUUUCGCCUGUGACGAAGCGUGAGUGACGGUAAUGGGUAAAGAAGCACCGGCUAACUACGUGCCAGCAGCCGCGGUGAUACGUAGGGUGCGAGCGUUGUCCGGAUUUAUUGGGCGUAAAGGGCUCGUAGGUGGUUGAUCGCGUCGGAAGUGUAAUCUUGGGGCUUAACCCUGAGCGUGCUUUCGAUACGGGUUGACUUGAGGAAGGUAGGGGAGAAUGGAAUUCCUGGUGGAGCGGUGGAAUGCGCAGAUAUCAGGAGGAACACCAGUGGCGAAGGCGGUUCUCUGGCCUUUCCUGACGCUGAGGAGCGAAAGCGUGGGGAGCGAACAGGCUUAGAUACCCUGGUAGUCCACGCUGUAAACGGUGGGUACUAGGUGUGGGGUCCAUUCCACGGGUUCCGUGCCGUAGCUAACGCUUUAAGUACCCCGCCUGGGGAGUACGGCCGCAAGGCUAAAACUCAAAGGAAUUGACGGGGCCCCGCACAAGCGGCGGAGCAUGCGGAUUAAUUCGAUGCAACGCGUAGAACCUUACCUGGGUUUGACAUGGAUCGGGAGUGCUCAGAGAUGGGUGUGCCUCUUUUGGGGUCGGUUCACAGGUGGUGCAUGCCUGUCGUCAGCUCGUGUCGUGAGAUGUUGGGUUAAGUCCCGCAACGAGCGCAACCCUUGUUCACUGUUGCCAGCACGUUAUGGUGGGGACUCAGUGGAGACCGCCGGGGUCAACUCGGAGGAAGGUGGGGAUGACGUCAAGUCAUCAUGCCCCUUAUGUCCAGGGCUUCACGCAUGCUACAAUGGCUGGUACAGAGAGUGGCGAGCCUGUGAGGGUGAGCGAAUCUCGGAAAGCCGGUCUCAGUUCGGAUUGGGGUCUGCAACUCGACCUCAUGAAGUAGGAGUCGCUAGUAAUCGCAGAUCAGCAACGCUGCGGUGAAUACGUUCCCGGG
rnacentral:rRNA from 1 species